rfam:Chlamydotis undulata macqueenii contig76151, whole genome shotgun sequence.
GCUGGUGUAAGUGAUGACAAUUUUUUUCCCCAUCAGAGCGACAGUGUUGAUUUCUCACUAUUUAAGCCAGAUCAUGUCUGAUGCACCAGC